rnacentral:rRNA from 1 species
CUGGUUCAGAACGAACGCUGGCGGCGUGCUUAACACAUGCAAGUCGAACGCGAAAGGGACUUCGGUCCUGAGUAAAGUGGCGCACGGGUGAGUAACGCGUAGAUAACCUGUCUUCAUGUCUGGAAUAAUACGCCGAAAGGGGUACUAAUACCGGAUAUUCUUGCUUUUCAUAAGUUAUGCAAGCAAAGGUGGCCUCUGCAUAUGCUACUGCAUGAAGAGGGGUCUGCGUACCAUUAGCUAGUAGGUGGGGUAAUGGCCUACCUAGGCGACGAUGGUUAGCGGGUCUGAGAGGAUGAUCCGCCACACUGGCACUGGAACACGGGCCAGACUCCUACGGGAGGCAGCAGUGAGGAAUAUUGCGCAAUGGGGGAAACCCUGACGCAGCGACGCCGCGUGAGUGAAGGAAGGCCUUCGGGUCGUAAAGCUCUGUCAAGAGGAAAGAAGUGUACAAUGGCUAAUACCUGUUGUAUUUGACGGUACCUCUAAAGGAAGCACCGGCUAACUCCGUGCCAGCCGCAGC